rnacentral:rRNA from 1 species
UACGUAGGUGGCAAGCGUUGUCCGGAUUUACUGGGCGUAAAGAGCGCGCAGGCGGUCGUUCAAGUCGCGUGUGAAAGCCCCCGGCUCAACUGGGGAGGGUCACGCGAUACUGAUCGACUCGAAGGCAGGAGAGGGUAGUGGAAUUCCCGGUGUAGCGGUGAAAUGCGUAGAGAUCAGGAAGAACAUCGGUGGCGAAGGCGCUCUGCUGGACCAUAACUGACACUCAGGGACGAAAGCUAGGGGAGCGAAUGGG